GGCGAGGGCAAAGCCUCCACCGACCGCUUUGUCAUCUGUUUGUCCCCGCCCUUGCCCCGGCCCUUCACGCGAUGCACGUGUGUAGCCCCGAGGCCUGCAGGCCAUGUGGGGCCUCCCUGAGCACGGCUGUGUAAGGUGCUUGAUGGAAGGCCUCGCACAGCUUACUCCAACAAGUCCCCACAGCGACAGGCUGAGGACCAGAAAUCCUGUUAUCAGCAGUAGAACGUUUCCUGUGAAAGCAAAGACUUCCUCUUCAAUCUCUGUCUUACAAGGGAACAAGCACUCUCCCCUCCACUCCCACCGUUACACAAGAAUGGGAUCUUAGGAAGAAGUGCCCUGUGGCCCACUAUCCUGGUACAUACCAGCUGCCUGUGCUCUCACGUGACCAGACUGAAGGCCUUUGAAAACAAAUAUGGAUUUGAAUGAUAUGUGACAUGGCCAAAUAUUAUCUUGAAACCAUUCUCAUCAGCAUGGGAUUUUUGAGGUAUUUUCAAGGGAAUGCAUACACAGAAUGAAACAAUGGAGAGGAUAACAAGGAAUCAGGCAAGCAGGAUCAUGGGCUGCAGACACAUUGAGGAGCAGCUGAGAGAGGUACCUGGAGCUGGGGCUGUCCUUGUGUUCCCCGUCAGCCUGGGCAACCCCUGAGAUCCUGGCACCUCUGGUCCUGGGGAGAUGCCAGCCUGCACAGUGCCAUGACAGAUCAACAGCAAAGAGACUGCUCAGAAUUGUACAUGGGGUGACAAAAAACACAGUGGAAUAAGUCAAUGAAGAGUCAGAAGAAUCUGCAAAGGAAAUUGGAGGACAGACGAUGAUUUUGGACACAUCAGAAAUUAGAGACCUUUUUCAACUGCCACAACUCUUCAAAAAUGACAGAGUGACCUUGCCAGCACUUGCUUCUGCAGGACUCUUACGUUCAUUAGUAACAAAGCAAUGAGAAGAAUACCUGUCAGAUUUUGAUUGCCUUUAAACUUCCUAAACACAUGGGAGCAAGUGAAUGUUCUAUCAAUGGUGCUGGUUCCACAACUGUGAUGUAAAUAAAUCCCAGGUGUGAUGUUACAUAUUUGACCACACAGCUGCUAACACUUUCCUGUGAUGUGCAUCUUCAUAUUUUUAGGAACUUCCUAUCUAUAAGAGGUCCUGUUUUCACAUCAGAACUUGAGCAGAAUAAGGGAGAUACCUGUGCUAUCCUCAUGAAUCCUGGUUAACUCUACAUCUGUCUCAUGAAUUUUAAGAGUCCUACAUAAAAUUCUAUACACAAGGUAUUGCGUGAAACCCAAAACAAUACUGGCCUCAACUGCUCAGGACUGGAAGACCAGGAAUGUUAGGAACCGGCUGCAGAAGAAAGUAACCUCUCCAAAUACCUCCAGUAUCAAAAUCUAAAUCAAAGACAGCUUUGAAAUGGGUAAAAAGCCUUCUGAUGACCUCAGAGGGGAGCUAUAGUGGUCACACUCUGAGAUCACUGAUAGUUUUUUAACAUCUCCUGAAAGGACUCAGAUGUCAGCAAGAUGAGGAAUCAGUUAGAGUGGUGCACCACCUGGUAGUCAAUGAAGCAGUGGAAAGACAGGAGCACUGUGAAUCUGCUGCAGACACCACCCGUAGAAGUUAGACACCAAGUGGGGCAUCCUGCAUGCUUAAAUGUGCAUUAUUUAUACAAACUGUGGAGAAAAUAAGCCUUGUUAUUUGCACUGUUCCUUUAAGGAGGGGACAAUCCUCUGUUGUAUAGGUACAUGCUGUACUGUUAGAGCUCUGAUCUAAGAUCGGUGCUACUGAAGAUGUCUUUCCCAAGUCAAACGGUUUUGUAACACACAUUUAGCUACAGUAACAACAUUAAGAUUGCUGUAUUUUCCCAAAUCAUGACAUGAGGAGGAGAAAUUAUCAUAUUUGAAAUGCAAGGAAGGACUUUAUGAGAAUGCACUGAAAGCUAAAUCAGGACUGCUCCCAGCUGUGUUUCCGGAGGCAUGUUUAUUCCACUACCUUACUGAAUCACCUUGAGCAAGAUAUUUAACCUCCUUCUUUCUACAUCUAUCUCUCAAGAAAACAAAAAUAAUUCCUAAAACACAAGCUUUUCAAGCUGAUCUAAAGCCCAGCAGAAUGAAUGAUGGUUACUCAUUUCUAAGGGUCUUGACUCCAGCCUUCAGUCAAAUAUUUAACUAGUUAAUGUUUGUAACUAUCAGUGCUGUUAUUACUUUGUAUGACUAUAAAUGACGUGGGAGGUUGUUACUGUUAGGUAAGCAGCAAUGGACAUAAGUGGAUUUUUUAUUUUAUUUUAUUUUUUGCAUUGAGCAGCGCAUGAACUGCUAUAAACCUGUCCCAAAUUUAAAAUAGCAAAAAUAGUGGUAGCUGUGCAGCUGUGUUCUGGCUUGUUAAUAUUCACGAAUGGUAUGAAUUUGAAUACAUUAAAACUUUUCAUUUAGACAUCAAAAUGUUGACUCACCUGAAUCUUAAUAAUUUUUUUUUUCUAUGGUUCAUUUUGGCAUCAAAUGUGUAGCUCACUAUUACAGUGAUGGGUGGGGACAGCUCCUGGCAUUUGGGUUCAGAGCAGCUAAGAGAGGGGAUGUGGCAGAUGUUAUGGGCAAGCAGUAGCUCAUUGUGAAUUCCCCUCAAGAAAAAAUGCUAAGCCUUUGAUGAGCUCUAAUAAAUAAUUAGCAGCAGAUAAAACAAGAGUACUGCUGCC